AACGAACGCUGGCGGCAUGCCUAACACAUGCAAGUCGAACGAUGCCUUCGGGCAUAGUGGCGCACGGGUGCGUAACGCGUGGGAAUCUGCCCUUGGCUUCGGAAUAACAGUUAGAAAUGACUGCUAAUACCGGAUGAUGUCUUCGGACCAAAGAUUUAUCGGCCAGGGAUGAGCCCGCGUAGGAUUAGGUAGUUGGUGGGGUAAAGGCCUACCAAGCCGACGAUCCUUAGCUGGUCUGAGAGGAUGAUCAGCCACACUGGGACUGAGACACGGCCCAGACUCCUACGGGAGGCAGCAGUGGGGAAUAUUGGACAAUGGGGGGAACCCUGAUCCAGCAAUGCCGCGUGAGUGAUGAAGGCCUUAGGGUUGUAAAGCUCUUUUACCAGGGAUGAUAAUGACAGUACCUGGAGAAUAAGCUCCGGCUAACUCCGUGCCAGCAGCCGCAGUAAAAC
rnacentral:rRNA from 1 species